rnacentral:ncRNA from 1 species
AAGAAAGCUAUGAAUUGAAGAGUAGUUUAAGUUAAUGAUUAAAGAGACAAGUUGGUUGGUGAGAAACUUGAUAUUACUUAGAUGAAAGUCCUCAAGGAGCUGUUAAAGUGAACAUGAAGUAACUUUAUACCGUUUAACUUACGUUACAAGUAUGAUGAGUGCACAGUAAUUCACUGUGAACUAAGGUGGUACCGCGGAUUUUAUUCGCCCUUAGA